rnacentral:rRNA from 1 species
CCUACGGGAGGCAGCAGUGAGGGAUAUUGGUCAAUGGGGGAAACCCUGAACCAGCAACGCCGCGUGAGGGAAGAAGGUUUUCGGAUUGUAAACCUCUGUCCUCUGGGAAGAUAAUGACGGUAGCAGAGGAGGAAGCUCCGGCUAACUACGUGCAAGCAGCCGCGGUAAUACGUAGGGAGCAAGCGUUGUACGGAUUUACUGGGUGUAAAGGGUGCGUAGGCGGUUUUGCAAGUCAGAAGUGAAAUCCAUGGGCUUACACCAAGAACUGCCUUUGAAACUGCAGAUCUUGAGUGGAGUAGAGGUAGGCGGAAUGCCCGGUGUAGCGGUGAAAUGCGUAGAGAUCGGGAGGAACACCAGUGGCGAAGGCGGCCUACUGGGCUCUAACUGACGCUGAGGCACGAAAGCGUGGGUAGCAAACAGGAUUAGAUACCCUAGUAGUC